UGGAGCUUGGCAGCCUCUUCAGCCUGUCCAGCCUCGACGUCUCGCGUAACAGGUUGUCGGGAGAAUUGCCGCUGGGCCUGGGAAGCACCUGGAGGCAAAUGCUGUCACUCAACUUGAGCUCCAACAACAUAACAGGAAGCGUACCGGAUUCGUUUGGGGCGAUGGUGACGCUGGACGCGCUGGAUUUGUCUCUCAACAGUUUCACAGGUGAGCUGCCGCUGCGGAUCGGUCUCCUUUCCAACUUGUCCGUGUUGAGUCUCUCGGGGAACCAGUUUCAAGGGCCUUUGCCACCUGCGCUGGGAAUGACAAGCGAUCUACGUGUGUUAAAUGCUUCCAAUAACAGGUUCUCCGGAGGCUUACCUCCGAGGCUGUGUAGCAGCGGGAAUCUAUCGCUGCUCGAUCUUUCGAAUAACAGGAUCGAAGGAACACUGCUCACAGUCGAGAACUGCUCGUCGCUGC
rnacentral:lncRNA from 1 species